CGGGAGAGCAGCUUCCACUGCUGGCCACACGGCAUAUCAUGCGCUCCGCGCUGGGAACAUCCUUCUUGUUGGCCAUGAGCUCUGCGCACUACAACGGAGUCUCCCUCUGUCACCCAGGCUGACUUGCAGUGGCGCCAUCUCAUCUUACUGCAACCUCCACCUCCGGGUUCAAGCAAUUCUCCUGACUUAGCCUCUCGAGUAGCUGGGACUACAGGCACCUACCACCAUACCUGGCUAUUUUUUUUCUUUUUUUUUUUGUAUUUUUAGAAGAAAUGGGGUUUCACCAUCUUGGCCAGGCUGGUCUUGAACUCCUGACCUCAAGUGACCCACCCACAUUGGCCUCCCGUAGUGCUGGGAUUACAGGCAUGAGCCACCAGGCCUGAUCUAUUGUCUAUUUUUAUAUCUUUUAUGAAAUGUUACUUCUGCCCUUUAAAAAUUGGAUUAGUUGUCUUUUUAUUAUUGAAUUACUUAUAUAUCCUAGAUGUAAGUCCUUAGUCACGGGUAUGUUUUGCAAAUAUUUUCUCCCAGUCUGUAGCUUGCCUCUGAAUUUUCUUUUCUUUUGUUUUCUUUUUUUUUUUUUUUUGAGACAGAGUCUCUGUUGCCCAGGCUGGAGUACAAUGGCUCAAUCUUGGCUCACUGCAACCUCCACCUCCUAAGUUCAAGCGAUUCUUGUGCCUCAGCCUCACCAGUAGCUGGGACCACAGGCAUGUGCCACCACACCUGGCUAACUUUUGUAUUUUUUGUAGAGACAGGAUUUCGCCAUGUUGGCUAGGCUGGACUUGAACUCCUGGACUCAAGUGAUCCACUUGCCUCGGCCUCCCAAAGUGCUGGGAUUACAGGCGAGAGCCACCGCACCCAGCCACCUGUUCAUUUUCUUAAUUGGCUUUUGAUGAGAAGUUUUUAGUUUAAAGAAAUUUCGAUUUAUCAAAUGUUUCUUUUGUGAUUUUGCCUUCUGAACCUUAGAAACCCUUGCUUACUCUUGAGUCCUGAAGAUAUUCUUCUAUAUUUGCCUCCAAAAGCUUUAUGAUUUUACCUUUUGUUUACUAAAGGCAAUGUUAGAGGUACACUGAUAAAUAUUUUUAUAUUUAUUUAUUAUUUAUUUUUGAGGUUUUUUUUGAGACAGAGUCUCACUCUGUUACCCAAGCUGGAGUGCUGUGGUGUCAUCACAGCUCACUGUCUCUACAAAAAGCAUUUUUUUAAAGAUAUGCAAAAUAAAAGAAAUUAUUUGUCUAUCAAUGAAUCUGCUCUGUUUAUCAGUGUGGAUUAUUGAGGGAAACUUUUAUGAAUGACUCAGUUUUGCUCACCUCCUAUUAUAUCCAAUCAAAGCUGAUAAGGAAACUGGAAAGCUCAUGUGGAAUUCAUCCUUUGAGUAAGAGCAGAAUCAGCUUUGUGAUUUUCUUGUUAUCAUCUUGUGCUUACAUUCCUGGUUUAUCUUCAAUAAGCAGCUUUGCUGUGGGAAUCUUCAGAGGUUCAUUUUGCUUUAUAUGAAAGUUAAUUUCAUUAAAAUUGAAGAAUAGAGUCUGUAAAUCCACAUACAUGGGAACACAGUAAAGUAUGACCAAAGCAGAUAUCUAGCUGGGUUACCCCCAAAGUGCAGCCCAGUGUAAAGUCUUCUUUGCAGAUAGUUCAUUUGGGAAUAUGGUCACAAGGAAUAAAAAUGCAGGGCCGGGGAGUGAAACAGGGAAGGAGGGAAAACCCGUACAAGAACCUGUUUCCAAGUUGCCCCUCCAUGACCCCAGCUAAGGGGCAUCUCACUAGAAUAUUUUGGGGAGCCUCACAGAGUUCAUUUCGGAAAUAUGUGUCUGUAGGACAAAAAAGAAGCAUUUAUCCAUCAGCUCCUGCGUCCCAAUUGUCAAGAAUGGCUUCAAGAGCGUAAACACUCCUGCUCUUCUGGUUUACUCAAAGGGGAUUCCCAAGUCCCAGAGCAGAAGAGUGAGAUGUACAGUGAGGCCCAUGUUAGUGCCAGCAUGAUACUGGUCCCACAGCAGUGGCUGGAGCUGACUCCCUACACUUAGUGGGCCAAGGAAAUUUUGAAGAGGUGCUCAAGAAGUGUCUGACACAGCAGACGAACACCAGCAGCAACAACAACAACAAAAAGGUUGCAUUUUCAAUUCCUUAAGCAUUGUGGAACUCUCUCUGAGUACCACCUAUACCACACAUGCUAUAUGGUCAUUUGGGUACUGAGCGAGGGGAAAGCUUUGUUUAUUUGUUAUUUUCCAUUUUUUUCUUUUUUUAACUUCUUUUUACUAAAUAUAAAUAAAAGUUAUAAUGACUUAUUGCCUUAUUCCAGUGGAAAUUCUUCCAGACCCAUUGGGG
rnacentral:lncRNA from 1 species